AUUCCAGCUCCAAUAGCGUAUAUUAAAGUUGUUGCAGUUAAAAAGCUCGUAGUUGGAUUUCUGGGAGGGUGCCAAUGUCCGUCGUCGUACGUGUUGCAGCGGCGCCCUUCCAUCCUUCUGUUAACGACUUUGGGCAUUCACUUGCCGGAGUCGGGCUCAGAUAUUUUACCUUGAGAAAAUUAGAGUGUUUCAGGCAGGCUAGGCCGGAAUACAUUAGCAUGGAAUAAUGGAAUAGGACUACGGUCUCUUUGUUGGUUUGAGGGACUGCAGUAAUGAUUAAUAGGGAUAGUUGGGGGCAUUAGUAUUUAAUUGUCAGAGGUGGAAUUCUCGGAUUUGUUAAAGACUAACUUAUGCGAAAGCAUUUGCCAAGGAUGUUUUCAUUG
rnacentral:rRNA from 1 species